GAUGAACGCUGGCGGCGUGCCUAAUACAUGCAAGUCGAGCGAACAGACGAGGAGCUUGCUCCUCGGACGUUAGCGGCGGACGGGUGUGUAACACGUGGAUAACCUACCUAUAAGACUGGGAUAACUUCGGGAAACCGGAGCUAAUACCGGAGAAUAUAUUGAACCGCAUGGUUCAAUAGUGAAAGACGGUUUUGCUGUCACUUAUAGCGGGAUCCGCGCCGCAUUAGCUAGUUGGUAAGGUCACGGCUUACCAAGGGAACGAUGCGUAGCCGAGCUGCGUGGGUGAUAGCCCACCCGGGAAGUGAGACACGGACAAGACUACUACGGGAGGCAGCAGUAGGGAACGGUCCGCAACGGGCGAAAGCCUGACGGAGCAGCGCGACGUCAGUGACGAAGGCGUUCGGAUCGUAAAACUCUGUUAUUAGGGAAGAACAACUGUGUAAGUAACUAUGCCCGUAUUGACGGUACCUAAUCAGAAAGCAACGGCUAACUACGUG
rnacentral:rRNA from 1 species